rnacentral:rRNA from 1 species
AUUAAUGAGGAUUUGAUCCUGGUCCAGGAUGAACGCUGGCGGCGUGGAUAAGGCAUGCAAGUCGAACGGAAUAUUUUUUGAAGAAGUUGAGAUUAUAUCAAUGCAACGGAUGAAAAUAUUUAGUGGCGAACGGGUUAGUAACACCUUAGUACAUACCUCAAAGUCGGGGAUAGCCAUUCGAAAGAGUGAGUAAUACCCGAUGGUCUCGCAAGAGUAAAGUCGCAAGACGCUUUGAGAUUGGCUUAGGUCUGAUCAGCUAGUUGGUGAGGUAAUGGCUCACCAAGGCUAUGACCAGUAGGGGGAUUGAGAGAUUGUUCCCCAACGAGGAAACUGAGACACGGUUCCUACUCCUACGGGAGGCAGCAGUCGAGAAUAUUCGACAAUGGACGAAAGUCUGAUCGAGCGACGCCGCGUGGAGGAUGAAGGUCUUCGGAUUGUAAACUCCUUUUCUACAGCAAAAAGUUAUUGAUUACUGUAGGAAUAAGACGCUGCAAACUUCGUGCCAGCAGCCGCGGUAAUACGAAGGCGUCAAGCGUUAUCCGGAUUUAUUGGGUGUAAAGAGUGCGUAGGGGGUUUUGUGCGUCUGUUGUUAAAUGUCACCGCUCAACGGUGUCGCUGCAAUGGAAACGGCAGAACUAGAGGGGGCUAGAGGCUAAUAGAACACAUGGUGUAGGGGUGAAAUCCGUUGAUAUCAUGUGGAAUACCAAAGGCGAAGGCAUUUAGCUGGGGCCUUCCUGACCCUUAAGCACGAAAGCGUGGGGAGCAAAAAGGAUUAGAUACCCUUGUAGUCCACGCCCUAAACGAUGCAGAUUAGCUAUUUCGAGUAUCGACCCUCGGAGUGGCGUAGCUAACGCGUUAAAUCUGCCACCUGGGAAGUACGGCCGCAAGGCUAAAACUCAAAGGAAUAGACGGGGACUCGCACAAGCGGUGGAACAUGAGGUUCAAUUCGACGGUAAACGAAAAACCUUACCAGGGUUUGAAAUGCACUUGAAGACCAGCAGAAACGUUGGUCGUCUCUCAAGGACAAGUGCACAGGUGCUGCAUGGUUGUCGUCAGCUCGUGCUUUGAAGUGUUCCCUUAAGUGGGUUAACGAGCGCAACCCCUAUCCUGUGUUUUAUAUGUCACAGGAGACCGCCGUGUUUAACACGGAGGAAGGCAGGGAUGACGUCAAAUCCGCAUGGCCCUCUGAUACCCUGGGCUACACUCGUGUUACAAUGGCCGGUACAAUGGGCUGCCAAACCGCAAGGUGGAGCAAAUCCCAUCAAAACCGGCCCCAGUUCAGAUUGGAGGCUGCAACUCGCCUCCAUGAAGCCGGAAUCGCUAGUAAUCGUGGGUCAGCUAUACCACGGUGAAUACGUUCUCGAGUCCUGUACUCACAAGAAUCGCGCACAGCAGGUUAUGAAGCUAAGUCGUUCAAAUCGACUCCUCC